rnacentral:tRNA from 5 species
GGGGACGUCGUUCAAUGGUAGGACGGCUGCUUCCCAAGCAGCCAACGCGGGUUCGAUUCCCGUCGUCCCCU